rnacentral:rRNA from 1 species
UACGUAGGUGGCAAGCGUUGUCCGGAUUUACUGGGCGUAAGGAGCGCGCAGGCGGUCGUUCAAGUCGCGUGUGAAAGCCCCCCGGCUCAACUGGGGAGGGUCACGCGAUACUGAUCGACUCGAAGGCAGGAGAGGGAAGUGGAAUUCCCGGUGUAGUGGUGAAAUGCGUAGAUAUCGGGAGGAACACCAGUGGCGAAGGCGACUUCCUGGCCUGUUCUUGACGCUGAGGCGCGAAAGCUAGGGGAGCAAACGGGG